rnacentral:misc_RNA from 1 species
GAUGAGAACGUAGUGAAAUGCGAUAAGUAAUGUGAAUUGCAGAAUUCAGUGAAUCAUCGAAUCUUUGAACGCACAUUGCGCCCCCUGGUAUUCCGGGGGGCAUGCCUGUCCGAGCGUCAUUACAACCCUCAAGCUCAGCUUGGUAUUGGGCCCCGCCGACCCGGCGGGCCCUAAAGUCAGUGGCGGUGCCGUCCGGCUCCGAGCGUAGUAAUUCUUCUCGCUCUGGAGGUCCGGUCGUGUGCUCGCCAGCAACCCCCAAUUUUUUUCAGGUUGACCUCGGAUCAGGUAGGGAUACCCGCUGAACUUAAGCAUAUCAAUAAGCGGAGGA